rnacentral:rRNA from 1 species
GAUGAACGCUGGCGGCAGGCUUAACACAUGCAAGUCGAACGGUUGUAGCAAUACAGCAGUGGCAGACGGGUGAGUAACACGUGGGAACCUUCCUAGGGGUACGGAACAACUCAGGGAAACUUGAGCUAAUACCGUAUACGUCCGUGAGGAGAAAGAUUUAUCGCCCUUAGACGGGCCCGCGUCGGAUUAGCUAGUUGGUGGGGUAACGGCCUACCAAGGCGACGAUCCGUAGCUGAUCUGAGAGGAUGAUCCGCCACACUGGGACUGAGACACGGCCCAGACUCCUACGGGAGGCAGCAGUGGGGAAUUUUGGACAAUGGGCGAAAGCCUGAUCCAGCCAUGCCGCGUGAGUGAAGAAGGCCUCGG